rnacentral:rRNA from 1 species
AGCUCCAAUAGCGUAUAUUAAAGUUGCUGCAGUUAAAAAGCUCGUAGUUGCAUUUCCGAGGCAAGGGAUUAGUCCGACCUUUGGUGGGUAUUUCAUCCUCUUGCCUCUUCCUUGAGUGGUGCUUCUUGGUAUUAAGUUAUCGAGGAGAUAGCCGCUCAUCGUUUACUGUGAGAAAAUUAGAGUGUUCAAAGCAGGCUUAUGCCGUUGAAUAUAUUAGCAUGGAAUAAUAAGAUAGGACCUCGGUACUAUUUUGUUGGUUUGAGAACCAAGGUAAUGAUGAAUAGGGACAGUUGGGGGUAUUCGUAUUCAGUUGUCAGAGGUGAAAUUCUUAGAUUUACGGAAGACGAACUACUGCGAAAGCAUUUACCAAGGAUGUUUUCA